CAUGCAAGUCGAACGGAAACCUUCGGGUUUUAGUGGCGAACGGGUGAGUAACACGUAAGCAACCUGCCCUUAAGACGAGGAUAACAAUUGGAAACAGUUGCUAAGACUGGAUAGGAAAAGUAAAGGCAUCUUUACUUUUUUAAAAGACCUUCUUUGAAGGUAUGCUUAAGGAGGGGCUUGCGACACAUUAGUUAGUUGGCAGGGUAAAGGCCUACCAAGACUAUGAUGUGUAGCUGGACUGAGAGGUUGAACAGCCACAUUGGGACUGAGACACGGCCCAAACUCCUACGGGAGGCAGCAGUAGGGAAUUUUCGGCAAUGGAGGAAACUCUGACCGAGCAACGCCGCGUGAACGAUGAAGUACCUCGGUAUGUAAAGUUCUUUUAUUAAGGAAGAAAAAAGAGUGGAAAAACUCCCUUGACGGUACUUAAUGAAUAAGCCCCGGCUAAUUAUGUGCCAGCAGCCGCGGUAAUACAUAAGGGGCGAGCGUUAUCCGGAAUUAUUGGGCGUAAAGGGUGCGUAGGCGGUUUAAUAAGUCUAUAGUUUAAUUUCAGUGCUUAACGCUGUUGUGCUAUAGAAACUGUUUUACUAGAGUGAGUUAGAGGCAAGCGGAAUUCCAUGUGUAGCGGUAAAAUGCGUAAAUAUAUGGAGGAACACCAGAGGCGUAGGCGGCUUGCUGGGACUUUACUGACGCUGAGGCACGAAAGCGUGGGGAGCAAACAGGAUUAGAUACCCUGGUAGUCCACGCUGUAAACGAUGAGUACUAAGUGUCGGGUAAAACCGGUACUGAAGUUAACACAUUAAGUACUCCGCCUGAGUAGUACGUACGCAAGUAUGAAACUUAAAGGAAUUGACGGGACUCCGCACAAGCGGUGGAUCAUGUUGUUUAAUUCGAAGAUACACGAAAAACCUUACCAGGUCUUGACAUUUUCUUGCGAAGUUAUAGAAAUAUAAUGGAGGUUAUCAGGAAAACAGGUGGUGCAUGGUUGUCGUCAGCUCGUGUCGUGAGAUGUUAGGUUAAGUCCUAAAACGAGCGCAACCCUUGUCGUUAAUUGCCAGCAUGUAAUGAUGGGGACUUUAACGAGACUGCCAAUGAAAAAUUGGAGGAAGGUGGGGAUUACGUCAAAUCAUCAUGCCCCUUAUGAUCUGGGCUACAAACGUGAUACAAUGGUUGAUACAAAGAGUAGCUGAAACGCGAGUUCUUAGCCAAUCUCACAAAAUCAAUCUCAGUUCGGAUUGAAGUCUGCAACUCGACUUCAUGAAGUUGGAAUCGCUAGUAAUCGCGAAUCAGCAUGUCGCGGUGAAUACGUUCUCGGGGUUUGUACACACCGCCCGUCAAACCACGAAAGUUGGCAAUACCCCAAAGCGGUCACCUAACUUCGCAAGAAGAAGGAUCCGUCUAAGGUAGGGUCGAUGAUUGGGGUUAAG
rnacentral:rRNA from 1 species